CCCUACGGGGCGCAGCAGGCGCGAAAACUUUACAAUGCGGGAAACCGUGAUAAGGGGACACCGAGUGCCAGCAUCAUAUGCUGGCUGUCCGGAUGUGUAAAAUACAUCCGUUAGCAAGGGCCGGGCAAGACCGGUGCCAGCCGCCGCGGUAACACCGGCGGCCCGAGUGGUGAUCGUGAUUAUUGGGUCUAAAGGGUCCGUAGCCGGUUUGGUCAGUCCUCCGGGAAAUCUGAUAGCUCAACUAUUAGGCUUUCGGGGGAUACUGCCAGACUUGGAACCGGGAGAGGUAAGAGGUACUACAGGGGUAGGAGUGAAAUCUUGUAAUCCCUGUGGGACCACCUGUGGCGAAGGCGUCUUACCAGAACGGGUUCGACGGUGAGGGACGAAAGCUGGGGGCACGAACCGGAUUAGAUACCCGGGUAGUCCCAGCCGUAAACGAUGCUCGCUAGGUGUCAGGCAUGGCGCGACCGUGUCUGGUGCCGCAGGGAAGCCGUGAAGCGAGCCACCUGGGAAGUACGGCCGCAAGGCUGAAACUUAAAGGAAUUGGCGGGGGAG
rnacentral:rRNA from 1 species